GACCCGUCUUGAACCACGAAGUCUAACAUGUGCGCGAGUCGUUGGGCUCGUUUUUCGAAACCCAAAGGCUUAAUGAAAGUGAAGGAAGCUUGGAACGCUUUCCUAGGGAGGAUGACCGUGUCAGCCCGAAAAGGCGGCGGUCCGCACUCCCGGGGCGUCUCUUUCUCUUACGAGUGGAGGCGCACCCAGAGCGUACACGUUAGGACCCGAAAGAUGGUGAACUAUGCCUGGUCAGGACGAAGCCAGGGGAAACCCUGGUGGAGGUCCGUAGCGAUUCUGACGUGCAAAUCGAUCGUCAGAGCUGGGUAUAGGGGCGAAAGACUAAUCGAACACUUAGUAGCUGGUUCCUUCCGA
rnacentral:rRNA from 1 species